CAAUAGCGUAUAUUAAAGUUGUUGCGGUUAAAAAGCUCGUAGUUGGAUUUCUGUUGGGAACGACCGGUCCGCCCAUUGGGUGUGUAUCUGGCUUGUUCUCGGCAUCUUCUUGGUGAACGUUGCUGCACUUGACUGUGUGGAGCGCUACCCAGGACUUUUACUUUGAGGAAAUUAGAGUGUUUCAAGCAGGCAUAUGCCUUGAAUACAUUAGCAUGGAAUAAUAAGAUAGGACCUCGGUUCUAUUUUGUUGGUUUCUAGAGCUGAGGUAAUGAUUAAUAGGGAUAGUUGGGGGCAUUCGUAUUUAACUGUCAGAGAUGAAAUUCUUGGAUUUGUUAAAGACGGACUACUGCGAAAGCAUUUGCCAAGGAUGUUUUCAUUGA
rnacentral:rRNA from 1 species